UCAGACAUGGUGUAAGGGGAACACGGCCUCUUCUUCUAAUAGGUUCAUGUAUUUCAUUUACAGAGGUAAUCCAGGGUUCAAAUCCCUGUGUCUGAA